rnacentral:tRNA from 1 species
GGGAGUGUGGCUCAGUGGUAGAGUGCUUGCCUAGCAUGUGUGAGGCACUGGGUUCAAUUCUCAGCACCUUG